GGAUCCAGACUUGAUUAUGGCUCGGGACGAACGCUGGCGGCGCGCCUAACACAUGCAAGUCGAACGAGCGAGAGAGAGCUUGCUUUCUCGAGCGAGUGGCGAACGGGUGAGUAACGCGUGAGGAACCUGCCUCAAAGAGGGGGACAACAGUUGGAAACGACUGCUAAUACCGCAUAAGCCCGCGACCCGGCAUCGGGUUGAGGGAAAAGGAGUAAUCCGCUUUGAGAUGGCCUCGCGUCCGAUUAGCUAGUUGGUGAGGUAACGGCCCACCAAGGCGACGAUCGGUAGCCGGACUGAGAGGUUGAACGGCCACAUUGGGACUGAGACACGGCCCAGACUCCUACGGGAGGCAGCAGUGGGGAAUAUUGCGCAAUGGGGGAAACCCUGAUGCAGCGACG
rnacentral:rRNA from 1 species